AUGUUCGAGGCUGUGUCACUGUGUGCUGCGUUCGGCGGAGGGACCAAGCUGACCGUGCUGGGUCAGCCCGCGUCUGCGCCCUCAGUCACUCUGUUCGCGCCCUCCACUGAGGAGCUCAGCGCCAACAAGGCCACCCUGGUGUGUCUCAUCAAUGACUUCUACCCGGGCAGCGUGAAGGUGGCCUGGAAGGCAGGCAGCAACACCAUCACCAGGGGCGUGGAGACCACCCAGCCCUCGAAACAGAGCAACAGCAAGUACGCGGCCAGCAGCUACCUGGCCCUGACGGCCAGCGAGUGGAAAUCUUACGACAGGGUCAGCUGCCAGGUCACGCACGAGGGGAGCACCGUGGAGAAGACAGUGUCGCCUUCCGAGUGCACUUAG